AGAGUUUUUAAUACCUCUGUGACCAGAAAGAAUGAAAAGACCUCUCCAAGUAGCUAAUUUACCACCUGCCUAACACUGUGUCCAUGACAGUUACACAGUCAGGUGAAAUAGAGCUAAAUUGCCUCUUUGCUCACAGUCUCUGGUCAAACUGAUUCCAUCCCUAGGCUGUUACAGCUCUGUGGGGAGACCAGCUAAGAGGCUUAUAGAAUUGAAACUGUUAGUGAAAAUUAUGGUGUCUCAAAAUGACUGCUGGACUACGAGAUUCUGAUUCCAGGAAAUCUAGUGGUUUCUGUGGGGACAAUGUGUGGAAAGAAGAUGACAGGGAAAUGACUCUGUUGCAGGCCUCCAUUUUCUGAUACUGUUGUCUUGGCUGACCUUUGGUAACAAGGUCAACAAACACCAGACGCUGUUUUUUGGAGUCAGUGAGAAUUAAUGAGGAAGGAGCCACGAUCCCUUCUCUGAGAGCCCCUGUGAGCAGCUCUCCCCAAACUCCUUGACUGUUCUUCAUAUAGAUUGAUCCUCUAUAGCCAUAGUAGUGGGACAUGUCACAUUGGGUAAUGGUGUGGACUCUGAAGUCAAAGUGUUCAAAUUCUUGAUGUGUGACCUUGUUACCUCUUUGUCCCUAGGUUUUAUCAUCUGAUAAAAAUGGGGAUAGUAAUGGUACCCAAGUCAUAGACUCAUAUAUAAUAUGCUUAGAGGUAAGCAUUAUGUAAGUGCUCACCCAGAUAAAGCUGCCCAAACUGGGUGCUCUAGCAGUUGAUGUCAGUGUUCUGGCCAUAUUGCCUUGUAUUCACUUUACAUGCUCAAGACUGCCUUCAGGACAAGCCAGAAAUUCUGAAAGUUAAUGUUUCUGGAACAAGCCCUAAGCCAAUGACAGAAAGGACACUGAUGCAUGAAUGCUCAGCUUCUGUGUCCUAUGGUUGAGAUAAUUCUGGAGUAUGUUCUAUGCUGUCUCCUAAAGCUCCCCAGGGAGAUGAAGCUCCAAAUGCCCAUGGUAGUAACUGCCUUGAUAAUAUACUUCACUGGCUUUAUUUUCUCUCUUUCUGUCUCCCCCUCCGCUCCCCCGCCCUGUUUCUUUCUCGCUCCACUCCACCCUUCUACCUCCAUACCAUUGCUUCCUGGGAUAGCCUCUCAAAUAAACUACUACUUGCAUUUGAAUCUUUUCUCAGAGUCUGCUUCUGGGGGAUCCCAAAUGAAGAUAGGUUUCACAGCUUUGGAGUAAUGACAGACCACAGCAUUCUGGUUUUGGCAAAGUCUCCCCUCCUUACCCCUGAACCUUUGUGAAGCUUGUGAACCAGUCUUUCGUCACAAGUCUAACAGGCCUGUGACAGUGAAGAAAUGAAGACCCCAGAUUUAAUACUAGACAAAUCUGGAAGAAACCACAGUGUUCCUGGCUGAGGCCCCUGACAGGAAGGAGCCCCAGUAGUGACAGAUGAGAACUCAUGGUCAGAGAAAGUAAGUCUGGGCUUCAGCAGCUUUCAGACAAAGGUGUAAGAUGGGCCUGGCUCUGGCAGACCCUGAACUGAGCCUUCAUAUGGCCCCAGGCCAGGCCAGCCUGGUGCUAGGUCAUGGCUAGGCAAUAAUGGGGUCUCCAGCUGUGUCGAUGUGUAUGUACAUAGGCUUCAGCGCAGCUGUGGGGCCCACGUCCAGUUUCAUCUGCCCUUGAUGUAGCAGCGCCUGCAGACUCAUGCAAUGGCUGGAAGUCCUUUGGCC
rnacentral:lncRNA from 1 species